UGCUCGUGAGUCCAUCUGCAGAUGCUUUAGUUAUUAAUGUAUGCCUUUUUAUUAAAUUCACUUAAAGACAAGUUGUUACCUUGGUUUGUGUCUUGUUUUAACAGAAACUGCCACCGCAAUUUGGCAUUGUCGGCAGGAUCACUCGUGUGAGCGGGACCGCUGGAACUCUGUGCGAGGGUAAAGACCGUGCACGGCUGGAGUCCGGGACUCUAACCUCAACCUCCCCAUAAAAGGGUGUAGAAGUGGGGGCCUGACGCCGGAGGACCAAGUCUCGCUCACCGCUGUGAUCCAAAGAACCAGGUGGCAAAGAAAAAAAAAAAAAAAACAACUCUGUCUUUCUGUGUCUCAAACUAGAUCCUGAUCUGGACUCGACCCCGCAACGACAACAGCCGGCCCGGGCAGUGCUGCCCAGCGCUCCAUCUCCACCUCUACCUCCACCAGUGGAAGGAGCCAUGAUGGAGGAAGAGGGCCCAAGAAGCUCAGCAACCAAGCCUCCACCAUACACUGCCCCUCGCACACCAUAACUGGACUUUGCAACGGUGUAAAAACUGCCACCACUAUUUGAGAAUGGACAUUGGCAAAAUCUCACUGUGCAAGCAGAGAGACUAUGAGACUGUGUCUGCGUACCUUAUCAGACUCACAGAGGUUCACAACACACAGUGGCCUCCUACGACCAGCUGCCAUGAGGGAAAACAACGAGGUCGGUCCCUGGGAAGCUCAUCUUCGGGACCGCUUCAUCAAUGAGACCAGAGAUCAGUGAGAUGAUAAAACGCAAUUGCAUCACUUGGGAAUGCGGAAACCUUGAGACUGUCGAGAAUCACGGCAUGGCAGAAGUGGUGGAGGCAGGUGGAGAUCUGACGCCUGCUUCAGAUGUGGAAAGACAGGACACUGGGCAAGGAAUUGCCCUGAGAACCAGGACACACAGGCUGAUUGACUAGCGGAGGGGUCGAGGACAGUGAAGGAUUCAUCUAGCUUUGACACGGAGACGGGAAACAGUGACCUAUCUGCACAUCAGACACGUAAGAACACAGACACACAACUCAUGAUUUCACAAGCAAUUGAAUAUCUUGAAUCUGUACAGGAAACU